GGUACAUGUAAUAUUCAAGAAUGUAUACUUUGCAAAACAUUCAAAGUCAAUGAAGGGGUGUGGUAAACAAAUCCAUGGAAAAGAAAUGUGCACAAGUUAAAACAACGAAUCACAAAAUAUCAUUGACAUACCACUAGUGAUUCCCAAUAAACAGACAUAAUCACAAACUAAUACAUUGUUGACAAUGGUGCUGGAAACAGCAUGCCAUAGUACUGUUUUUCUUUUUUGGCAGGAACCAAAAACAGGAAAAUAACAACCACAUAAAC
rnacentral:lncRNA from 1 species